rnacentral:rRNA from 1 species
AAUGAACGUUGGCGGCGUGGAUUAGGCAUGCAAGUCGAGCGCGAACCCCGCAAGGGGUGAAAGCGGCGAAAGGGAGAGUAACGCGUGGGUAUCUGCCCUCGGGACUGGGAUAGCUGCGGGAAACUGCAGGUAAUACCAGAUGACGUCCCCGGACCAAAGGUGUGAUUCCGCCUGAGGAUGAGCCCGCGUCCUAUUAGCUAGUUGGUAGGGUAAUGGCCUACCAAGGCAAUGAUGGGUACUGGGUGUGAGAGCACGACCCAGCUCACUGGGACUGGGACACUGCCCAGACAGCUACGGGUGGCUGCAGUCGAGAAUCUUCGGCAAUGGGCGAAAGCCUGACCGAGCGACGCCGCGUGUGGGAUGAAGGCCUUCGGGUUGUAAACCGCUGUCAGAGGGGAGGAAUGGGCGGAGGGUAAUCUCUUCGUUUUGACCUAUCCUCAGAGGAAGUACGGGCUAAGUUCGUGCCAGCCGCCGCGGUAA